CUACGGGCCGCAGCAGUGGGGAAUAUUGCACAAUGGGCGCAAGCCUGAUGCAGCAACGCCGCGUGAAUGAAGAAGGUCUUCGGAUCGUAAAGUUCUUUUCUUAGGGAAGAAAAAUGACGGUACCUAAGGAAUAAGCACCGGCUAAAUACGUGCCAGCAGCCGCGGUAAUACGUAUGGUGCAAGCGUUAUCCGGAAUCACUGGGCGUAAAGGGAGCGUAGGCGGCUUUGCAGGUCAGAAGUGAAAGGCUACGGCUCAACCGUGGUAAGCUUUUGAAACUGCAAGGCUAGAGUGCAGGAGAGGCAAGUGGAAUUCCUAGUGUAGAGGUGAAAUUCGUAGAUAUUAGGAGGAACACCAGUGGCGAAGGCGACUUGCUGGACUGUAACUGACGCUGAGGCUCGAAAGCGUGGGGAGCGAACAGGAUUAGAUACCCCGGUAGUC
rnacentral:rRNA from 1 species